GUUUUGAAAUGUUGAUGUUCAUAGCGAUGCCGCUUUUUGAUCCUUCGGUGUCUGCUCUUCCUAUCAUUGUGAAGCAGAACUCACCAAGCUUUGGAUUAGUCACCCACUAAUAGGGAAUGUGAACUGGGUUUAGACUGUUGUGAGACAAGUU
rnacentral:ncRNA from 1 species